AUCAAAGACAAGAGAGCCAGGAUGGGGGCCAGGAGCCGAGAGUGGUGUAUAGUGAGAAUAGGAAGAAAAAGGAAAACAAUACAAGCUGUGAAGCCAUAAAUUUCUAGAACCGCGGUAGACCUCGACACCGGUACCUGACCCAUACCUAUUAAAAAAACAUGCAGAAGAGCAUCCAGUCGACUUACUUGUCUUCAAUAAAAGUAGGAAUGACAUAUUAACACUGUAAGGUGGGUUAACAAAUUUAUCAAGCCUAGAAAAUGUACAAGCCUACGCAAUUACAAAGCUUGGGAUCCUUUUCCUGGACAGAGCUCUGCUCAAAAGUCAUCAGAAAUGCGUUUUUGCUGUUUGACACAGUCAGUAGGGUAUCUAUAAAUGUAUUGGCAUCCUGGUUCCCAAACACUGAACAGCUCCCGACGCCAUUUUAGAAAAGCUGUUCACACUGCUUACUCAUUCUGCCGUCCCCCAUCUUCAGUGACUUCUAUCACACACUGGGUGCACCUGCAUACCCCGACUACCUCUGGGUUAACGCAGGAGCUGAGGUAGCGUUGCUGAAAAUGACUCGCCAGCACCGUCUCCCCCCCCCCCCACCUCCCGUCCAACCCCACUCUGCUGCUGCAAUACCGGGCUGCCAGUCACCACCAUCCCCCUCAAAAAAAAAAAAAAAAAAACACAUCGUUACCCACAUCAUAUCUUGGGAUUAUGUAAAUAAAACAUCAUAUAGCGAGUCAGCCCAUUACUGUGCGUUCUGCGGAGCAGCAUGAAUCAGACACGGAGCUUCUCUUUUCUCUAGUCCUCUCACUGCAUCAACCCAGUACGAAAACAAAAGCCUCCGACAACAGCAAGAUCAUUGCAUCGCUUUGAUAAGAAUGCCUGUUAUGUUUUGAUAAAUGCUAUAUACAGUUCAGGGGGGGGGGGGUUAUGCUAGCCCAUAUUUCGGCCCUUUUGUUCGCUUAUCGACCGAUAUGGCGGUGUCUGUAACGUCAAAACAAAAAGCGACGUUUAGGUAGAGAAUAGUAUAUUUUGAGCGGUCUGGUUUCCAGCACGUAGGCUAUUUCCUUGACAGCCCAGAAAAGAGAAGCGAGAGAACACAGACGAACCGUGAUAGCCCACAGACAUUCAUCCGUAAAUUUAUGCUUUUUGGUGCUCAGGUCCAGAAAAUACAACAAAGAGCUAAACGCCGAUAAAUGCUUGAUAGGGGUUUGUCAUGCUCCUCGAACAAACGAGCCGAGCUUACAGUGAGAAGUAUGACGGGCUAAUUUAAGAAAAUAUGGAUAUGAUUAAGCUUGAAUCGGAAGACGCUGCAGGCUGUGCAAGUCAGCAGCAGCCAGCAGCUGCGGGGAAGCAGCGCGGUUUUCAUGUGGGAGAGACGACCAUCUUUCUGCGCACGAAAGUAAACACAAGUAGCCGGCCACAGACUGUGCUCCAGUGCUGCACAUCAGCAGCACGGCAUCAACGCUCAGUCACAGCCAGGGAGGGUGCAACAAAGCUGCGGCGUGAACGGCGCGUCACUUCGGAGGGCUUGUCGUAGACAGAAUCCGUCUCUACAAACAGACUCUCUGGGCUCCAAAAGACUUAUGAGCUAAUCAAGCACGCUUUGUGCAGAGAUCUGGCUGGAAGCGGUGUCUGACACAGUCAGAGAGUCACGCUAAACAUCGGAACCUGGCUCUCACACCAGAUGCACAAGAUGCAGGCUGUACAAUGCAUUGGUUUUACAAUGCUGUCCAGCUCCCCAGGAAGGCUGGAGUUUGUUUACAUUGCCUGCUGUUAGCCUUUGCUGUGUCUUCCUUGCGGUGAUCGGGACCAAAGGUGGGUUGCACUAAAGUCAGUUUGUAACCUGGUGGAAAUGUGCACCCACCCAACAUGAAGGGGCAAGUUAUAGCAGGCAGUAAGUGAGUGGCCGUGGCCAUAUGUCUGCGAGUGGAUGAGUCUCCGCUCAAAAUGCAGAGCUGACAGCACAGUUGCCAAAUGGGACUUCGCUACAGGGGGAACCUCUUGCUUUAUCCCGACUUCACUAAAAUACAUCUCACGGCACAUACUAAGAGAUGCUGGCCGUGCAAAUAAUACAAAAACACAGACACACACACACCUCCUAUUAAUGUUCGUACUCACCGCUUGAAGUGCUCAAUAAUUUUCUCCUCUCGUACAUUUUCGGGUAAAUUUCCCACCCAUAAAUGUCUGGUUUCCCGGACCAUACUGUGUGCUCUUGCUCCCCGAUCAUACAGAUGAGUUUGCUGUGUCAGUUUCUCCCCGUGCAAAAUACAAAAGAUCUGGAGAAUAAAAGCUGGGCGAGAAAAGGGUCGUAGCCUGCUUGACGCAAAUCAUUGACUGUUCGUUGUGACCCAAUGUAAACCAUUAGGCUGGAUCCCCCUGCACGCUGUUUGAUACUCUUCGCUGUUAGAGGCGCGAGCUUGCACUCUCCUCGCGAACGCGCUCCGCUUCUGUUCCCGUGACUAGGCGCGUCCCUGUCACCACGCGACCUUUGGGUGUCGAAAGAAAGCAUGUAGCUUCCUAAAAAGAUGCAGCAACUUCGCUUGUAAAUGAGAGGCACACCGCGCAGGCGUGGCUUUGUGUGUGAACUUCUUUUCUUUUUUCCUUCUUCCCGAUGAGAUAGUACUAUGCCCAUGCGCAUGCGUGAGAAAACCCCUGGUUGAGCGAUGGAUGGUGCUUUGACAUCUGAGAAGCUCACAAGAGGAUCCCAUCACUGCCUGUUAAAUACAAGAAACUGACUGACCUGUGAGGAUGCUGCAUCCAGCAGAUCCAUGUUUGGGAUGAGACAGCUGGCCUCACCGAGGAAACAUAUUAGAAUAUGGAACACGUCAGCCCAGCGUCCCACGGUCAGCAUCAA